AGCGAACGCUGGCGGCAGGCUUAACACAUGCAAGUCGAACGGUCCUUCGGGAUAGUGGCGGACGGGUGAGUAACACGUGGGAACGUACCCUUAGGUUCGGAACAACACCGGGAAACUUGUGCUAAUACCGGAUAAGCCCUUCGGGGGAAAGAUUUAUCGCCUUUGGAGCGGCCCGCGUCUGAUUAGCUUGUUGGUGAGGUAAUGGCUCACCAAGGCUACGAUCAGUAGCUGGUCUGAGAGGAUGGCCAGCCACACUGGGACUGUAGACACGGCCCAGACUCCUACGGGAGGCAGCAGUGGGGAAUCUUGCGCAAUGGGCGAAAGCCUGACGCAGCCAUGCCGCGUGGAUGAUGAAGGUCUUAGGAUUGUAAAAUCCUUUCACCGGGGACGAUAAUGACGGUACCCGGAGAAGAAGCCCCGGCUAACUUCGUGCCAGCAGCCGCCGUAA
rnacentral:rRNA from 1 species